AAUGGUGUGUGUGUGUGUGUGUGUGUGUGUGUGUGUGUGUGUAUAUAUAUACAUAUAUAUAUAUAUACACACACACACACACACAUAUUGUUUAAC
rnacentral:miRNA from 1 species